GUAACUAGGGUUUUAAUUUUAGUUUAGGUUAAAAAAAAAGAAAUAAAAAUUGCGGCUCCUUUCAAAAGGCAUUGCCUCAAUGCCUCAACGCUCCUCGCCUUCGUCGUUGGGGCGGCUGCCUCUUCGAAGCUAGGCGAGGCACUAGAGGGUCGCCUUGCCUCGGUGCCUUCGGUGCCUUUAACAACACUGUCAUAUUAAAUGCGAAUGUUAAAAUGAUUGUUUAGUAACAAAAUAAUAGAUAAUAUUAAGAAUACUGCAUUUGCCAAAGAGCGAAUGUAGCGUAUAUUGGGGACAAAAUGAGAGAGAGUCAAUUAAUA
rnacentral:misc_RNA from 1 species